rnacentral:rRNA from 1 species
AUUGAACGCUGGCGGCAGGCCUAACACAUGCAAGUCGAGCGAGCGGCGGACGGGUGAGUAAUGUCUGGGAAACUGCCUGAUGGAGGGGGAUAACUACUGGAAACGGUAGCUAAUACCGCAUACCAUCAGAUGUGCCCAGAUGGGAUUAGCUAGUAGGUGGGGUAACGGCUAACCUAGGCGACGAUCCCUAGCUGGUCUGAGAGGAUGACCAGCCAAACGGGAACGGAGAAACGGGCCAGAUGACUACGGGAGGCAGCAGUGGGGAAUAUGGAACAAUGGGCGAAAGCCUGAUGCAGCCAUGCCGCGUGUGUGAAGAAGGCCUUGGGGUUGGAAAGCACUUUCAGCGGGGAGGCGUUACCCGCAGAAGAAGCAUCGGCUAACUCCGUGCCAGCAGCCGCGGUAAUAC